AACGCGAAGAACCUUACCAGGUCUUGACAUCCCAGUGACCGCUCUAGAGAUAGAGUUUUUCUUCGGAACACUGGUGACAGGUGGUGCAUGGUUGUCGUCAGCUCGUGUCGUGAGAUGUUGGGUUAAGUCCCGCAACGAGCGCAACCCUUAUUGUUAGUUGCCAUCAUUCAGUUGGGCACUCUAGCGAGACUGCCGGUAAUAAACCGGAGGAAGGUGGGGAUGACGUCAAAUCAUCAUGCCCCUUAUGACCUGGGCUACACACGUGCUACAAUGGUUGGUACAACGAGUCGCAAGUCGGUGACGGCAAGCAAAUCUCUUAAAGCCAAUCUCAGUUCGGAUUGUAGGCUGCAACUCGCCUACAUGAAGUCGGAAUCGCUAGUAAUCGCGAAUCAGAAUGUCGCGGUGAAUACGUUCCCGGGUCUUGUACACACGC
rnacentral:rRNA from 1 species